rfam:Gymnopus luxurians FD-317 M1 unplaced genomic scaffold GYMLTscaffold_66, whole genome shotgun sequence.
GGCCAGAUAGCUCAGUGGUUAGAGCAUCUGGGAUUUCACCAGAAGGUCCUAGAUUCAAGUCCCAGUUUGGACA